AUGGUUUCUCUUGCGAGUUUUUGCAAGAGCUAUCAUUGCCGGGAGGAUGGUGUGAUUGAAAUGUUAGAUUACAGCCACGGAGACAUUCUUGACAUUAGGAAGACUUUUCUGUACACCUGCGCAACUAGCGAUGUGUUUGAUGUUGACUUCCGUGGUGAGUGGCUGUAUCUUAAUGAGCAUGACUACAGGAUCUUUGGCAGCCAGUUCUCGGAGCUCGAGCGCGUAUCUAUUGAUCUUAGCCAGUGGCGUUCUCCAGAAAAGACAAGGUCUGGUGUUCUUAAGGGGCGGUUGGGAGCUCUGAAAGGUUCUACGGCUGCUUGUGCAGAGAGCCCCUCUACACCCAAGAAUCCCAUUGUGGAAUUGAUAGACAGCGAUGAUGAUGCAUUUGACAAGAUUGCUAGCAUGGGAAGAGUCACCAGGAGCGUUGCUGCUACCAAGGGUUUAUCCCCACUUUCUAGAAUAGUGGCCCGUAGAGCUGGUGGUGCUAGGAAGGAUCUUGCUUUGGAUUCUGGCAAUGUUCAGCUUCAACCUCAUAGAUUCCCUCACCUGGACAAGGCUCGCAAGUUGUAUAAUCUGUUGCUUAGCGAUGAAGCAUGUGAGAAGUAUGCCGACAAUACAUUCUCAAUGAUACCUCAGCCUGACGAUAGCGUAACCAGCUUCACUGGGAAACGCAUAUGGGAAGUUUUUGCACCUGGGAAAAUGAUGGAGGGUGAUGUAAUGGACUUCCUUAUUGAUGAUUGGAAGAAAGAUCCCGAUAGAAAUGUUGAUUUUGCGUCUGGGAAAAGGGUAUUGCUGAGUCCAUAUUUCAUCACGGUUGUGCUUGACUCUAUGUUUUAUGGUGAUGAAAAUAAAGAGUUUAAUGUGAAGAGUGCAGCGAGAGAUUUCAAGAGCUAUGUUAAAGAUAAUGAAGACUUGCUCAGUGCCGACCUUAUCAUGAUGCCUCUAUUCAAGCCUAUGGUUUUACCAAAGGAUAAGAAAGUGAACCAGUUUUCCUUAUAUGUCAUGAAUCGGUACCGAAGUAGCCUCAACAUCCUUGACUCUUUACCUUAUCCGAAGAACCAUCAUCCUUCAAAGAACACCUAUCAUAAAGACUGUGAGAAGAUUUACAAUGCGAGCAAGCAGGCCAAAUGGGAGCUUUUUGCAAUGAAACCAACGUUUGUGAAGGUUCCACUUCACGGAGCGAAUGAAUGUGGCCAUUAUACUCUGAAGUAUGCAGGAUCCUAUGAUGGUGAAAAGAUCGUUGGGAGCAUUCGAGAUAAAGCUCCUCAUAUAGUUGAUUGGAAGGCUGAGGAUUUGUAUAGAGUUGUGUUCAACCGGAAUAACCAGCUUCUAGUGACGGAACUUCCCAAGGAGUUUCAGCCUUUGGCUUCUGGCGCAUAG
rnacentral:rRNA from 1 species